UACACUCCUACGGGAGGCAGCAGUGGGGAAUUUUACGCAAUGGGGGAAACCCUGACGUAGCGACACCGCGUGAGCGAAGAAGCCCUUUGGGGUGUAAAGCUCUGUCAGCUGGAACGAAAACAAUGACGGUACCAGCAGAGGAAGCAUCGGCUAACUACGUGCCAGCAGCCGCGGUAAGACGUAGGAUGCGAGCGUUGUCCGGAUUUAUUGGGCGUAAAGAGUUCGUAGGUGGUUUGUUAAGUUUGGUGUUAAAGAUCGGGGCUCAACCCUGGGACUGCACUGAAUACUGGCAGACUCGAGUGUGGUAGAGGCUAGUGGAAUUCCCAGUGUAGCGGUGAAAUGCGUAGAUAUUGGGAAGAACACCGGUGGCGUAGGCGACUAGCUGGGCCAUAACUGACGCUGAGGAACGAAAGCCAGGGGAGCGAAUGGGAUUAGAAACCCCAGUAGUCCCAUG
rnacentral:rRNA from 1 species